UACGUAGGGGGCGAGCGUUGUCCGGAGUUACUGGGCGUAAAGCGCAUGCAGGCGGUUGUGUACGUUUGAGGUAACAGCUCCCGGCUCAACUGGGAGAGCGUCUCGAAAACGGCACGACUUGAGGGCUAAAGAGGGACAUGGAAUUCCGGGUGUAGUGGUGAAAUGCGUAGAUAUCCGGAGGAACACCAAUGGCGAAGGCAGUGUCCUGGUUAGCACCUGACGCUCAGAUGCGAAAGCUAGGGGAGCGAACGGG
rnacentral:rRNA from 1 species